UAGAAAUGACUGCUAAUACCGCAUAAGGCCACAGCACCGCAUGGUGCAGGGGUAAAAACUCCGGUGGUGUGAGAUGGGCCCGCGUCUGAUUAGUUAGUUGGCGGGGUAACGGCCCACCAAGACGACGAUCAGUAGCCGACCUGAGAGGGUGACCGGCCACAUUGGGACUGAGACACGGCCCAAACUCCUACGGGAGGCAGCAGUGGGGAAUAUUGCACAAUGGGGGAAACCCUGAUGCAGCGACGCCGCGUGAGCGAAGAAGUAUUUCGGUAUGUAAAGCUCUAUCAGCAGGGAAGAAAUUGACGGUACCUGACUAAGAAGCACCGGCUAAAUACGUGCCAGCAGCCGCGGUAAUACGUAUGGUGCAAGCGUUAUCCGGAUUUACUGGGUGUAAAGGGAGCGUAGACGGAGCAGCAAGUCUGGAGUGAAAACCCGGGGCUCAACCCCGGGA
rnacentral:rRNA from 1 species